rnacentral:rRNA from 1 species
GAACAGGAAAGAGCCCAAACCGGCAGAUUUAUCUGCCGGGGUUGUAGGACUGAGACAUGGCACUUCAGAGGAUAGCAGAAGCGUUUGGGAAAGCGCGCCAGAGAGGGUGAGAGCCCCGUAAGCGAAAUCCAAAGAAGGCCUAUCAGUAUCCUGAGUAGGGCGGGACACGUGAAAUCCCGUUUGAAUCCGCGAGGACCAUCUCGCAAGGCUAAAUACUAACCAGUGACCGAUAGUGAACCAGUACCGUGAGGGAAAGGUGAAAAGAACCCCGGGAGGGGAGUGAAAGAGAACCUGAAACCGUGUGCCUACAAGUAGUCAGAGCCCGUUAACGGGUAAUGGCGUGCCUUUUGUAGAAUGAACCGGCGAGUUGCGUUAGUCAGCAAGGUUAAGUCAGAAAAGACGGAGCCG